GAGGGUGUCGCAGUGGUAGGCAGCGUUGCCUUUGUCUCGGUUAUGGCUCCAUGCGUGUGGAGUUUGCAUGGAGAUUCCUUUGUGUUCUCCACUAUCCCCGCACAGCCCAACAACAUACUGAGGUGAACUGGAGUCAUGAGAGUGUCUGUGUGUGUGUGUGUGUGGUCCAAGUGUACAUUACAUUGCGGGAACUGAACUCAGUUUUAUGAAAAUAUGUGAAUGCAAUCAAAAAGCUGAAAAAUGCCAAAAGACUUGCAUUUUGUUUGGUUACUUAUGGUUAAGGUUAGGGCUGGGUAGGGGGUAAAGUUGUCAUAGUUAGCAUUAGCAUUUUUGCCAUAGUAACGAAUGGAGAGUCCCCAACAACAUAUAAUUACAAACCUGUGUGUGUGUGUGUGUGUGUGUGUGUGUGAAUGGAGUGUGCACCCUGCAAUGGCUUGGUGCCCCCACCUUGCACCCAUAUCCUCUGGAAUAGGCUCUGGACCCCCAUGUCCCUGAAUAGGAUGAGUGGAUACAGAAGAUUGGUGGAGUUCAUCAAAAUCCCCCCGGUUGCAGUUUUAUGGAGUUCCACCUAUAAUUAAGGAGCCAUUGAUUCAUCUGUAAACAGCCUCAGCUGGUGAGGGUUACAGCAUGCUUAGCAGGUCAGACCAGAGCUCUCUCUCCAAAGGCCACAAACCUUAACUCCUGCUGGGGGAUUGUCGGGUGUUUCCUUAGCCGGCUGACUAUCUCCCCCUAGUGGGAUAUAACUGCAACAGGUCUCCUGGCAGUCAACCAGGCGGCAUCCUUGUGUGACUCUUCUGAAUACAAAGAUAUUCAUGUAAAUCGCUAUCGUUAGCUAAUGGGAACUGGCAUUCAACUCAUAUCAUCUGCUAAAACAAAUGCCAAGUUCUUGUGUAGAAAUUGUGGUGGUAUUUAUAAAAGGAAAAUGUAUUAAUUAGAAACACAAGUAAAUAUAAGUCAGACAUGGAAUAGGCUAAUAUGUAUCUCUAAAUUGCCCGUAGUUUAACUAUGAACUCCAUAAAACUGGAGGACAGUUAGGAUGAUUCCAGGGGUCCCUGACUGUAGUUGGAACAUAAUUAGAUUGGUCUGGGCUGGAGCCCCGAUAUGAUAUACUUUCAUGGGGCCCAAAAUCUACAUUGUAUAUGUAUAUUGUGAGUAUAUGCCUGUGUAUAUGUACACCCCGAUUGUGAGUAUAUACCUGUGUAUAUGUACACCCUGAUUGUGAGUAUAUACCUGUGUAUAUGUACACCCCGAUUGUGAGUAAAUUUCUGCAUAUACAGUAUGUACACCCUGAUUGUGAUUAUAAGCCUAUGUAUAUGUAUCCUGUGAUGAACUGGAACCCCAUCCAGGGUAUACAAGAGCCUUGUUCAUAUCCUGCCUGGGAUGUACUCCAGGACCCCCUAUGACCCUGUUCAGGAUAAGCAGUUGGAAGAUAGAUGGACAGAUGGUUUUGAAAGACAUGAAAUUUCAUAAGAAAAGAUGUUUUGGCUCCCUCCUGUGGUGUAAUUAAAACAUUACAUAUUUAUA